GUGGGGAAUCUUGCGCAAUGGGCGAAAGCCUGACGCAGCCAUGCCGCGUGGAUGAUGAAGGUCUUAGGAUUGUAAAAUCCUUUCACCGGUGAAGAUAAUGACUGUAGCCGGAGAAGAAGCCCCGGCUAACUUCGUGCCAGCAGCCGCGGUAAUACGAAGGGGGCUAGCGUUGCUCGGAAUUACUGGGCGUAAAGGGCGCGUAAGCGGACAGUUUAGUCAGAGGUGAAAGCCCAGGGCUCAACCUUGGAAUUGCCUUUGAUACUGGCUGUCUUGAGUACGGGAGAGGUGAGUGGAACUCCGAGUGUAGAGGUGAAAUUCGUAGAUAUUCGGAAGAACACCAGUGGCGAAGGCGACUCACUGGCCCGUUACUGACGCUGAGGCGCGAAAGCGUGGGGAGCAAACAGGAUUAGAUACCCUGGUAGUCC
rnacentral:rRNA from 1 species